rnacentral:rRNA from 1 species
GAUGAACGCUGGCGGCGUGCCUAAUACAUGCAAGUCGAGCGAACGGACGAGAAGCUUGCUUCUCUGAUGUUAGCGGCGGACGGGUGAGUAACACGUGGAUAACCUACCUAUAAGACUGGGAUAACUUCGGGAAACCGGAGCUAAUACCGGAUAAUAUUUUGAACCGCAUGGUUCAAAAGUGAAAGACGGUCUUGCUGUCACUUAUAGAUGGAUCCGCGCUGCAUUAGCUAGUUGGUAAGGUAACGGCUUACCAAGGCAACGAUGCAUAGCCGACCUGAGAGGGUGAUCGGCCACACUGGAACUGAGACACGGUCCAGACUCCUACGGGAGGCAGCAGUAGGGAAUCUUCCGCAAUGGGCGAAAGCCUGACGGAGCAACGCCGCGUGAGUGAUGAAGGUCUUCGGAUCGUAAAACUCUGUUAUUAGGGAAGAACAUAUGUGUAAGUAACUGUGCACAUCUUGACGGUACCUAAUCAGAAAGCCACGGCUAACUACGUGCCAGCAGCCGCGGUAAUACGUAGGUGGCAAGCGUUAUCCGGAAUUAUUGGGCGUAAAGCGCGCGUAGGCGGUUUUUUAAGUCUGAUGUGAAAGCCCACGGCUCAACCGUGGAGGGUCAUUGGAAACUGGAAAACUUGAGUGCAGAAGAGGAAAGUGGAAUUCCAUGUGUAGCGGUGAAAUGCGCAGAGAUAUGGAGGAACACCAGUGGCGAAGGCGACUUUCUGGUCUGUAACUGACGCUGAUGUGCGAAAGCGUGGGGAUCAAACAGGAUUAGAUACCCUGGUAGUCCACGCCGUAAACGAUGAGUGCUAAGUGUUAGGGGGUUUCCGCCCCUUAGUGCUGCAGCUAACGCAUUAAGCACUCCGCCUGGGGAGUACGACCGCAAGGUUGAAACUCAAAGGAAUUGACGGGGACCCGCACAAGCGGUGGAGCAUGUGGUUUAAUUCGAAGCAACGCGAAGAACCUUACCAAAUCUUGACAUCCUUUGACAACUCUAGAGAUAGAGCCUUCCCCUUCGGGGGACAAAGUGACAGGUGAUGCAUGGUUGUCGUCAGCUCGUGUCGUGAGAUGUUGGGUUAAGUCCCGCAACGAGCGCAACCCUUAAGCUUAGUUGCCAUCAUUAAGUUGGGCACUCUAAGUUGACUGCCGGUGACAAACCGGAGGAAGGUGGGGAUGACGUCAAAUCAUCAUGCCCCUUAUGAUUUGGGCUACACACGUGCUACAAUGGACAAUACAAAGGGCAGCGAAACCGCGAGGUCAAGCAAAUCCCAUAAAGUUGUUCUCAGUUCGGAUUGUAGUCUGCAACUCGACUACAUGAAGCUGGAAUCGCUAGUAAUCGUAGAUCAGCAUGCUACGGUGAAUACGUUCCCGGGUCU